CCAAGAUGAAGAUUCAUGCAGUGAUUGUAGCAAUCAGGAUAAGCCAGGUACCCGGUUACAAAGUUUUGUGCCAGAAGGAACAACUCACUUCCCAGAAGUGUUCCAAACAAGUCAUCUUUUGUUCUAUGAGCGAUUCAGAGCCUACCAAGAUUACAUUCUAGCUGACUGCAAGGCCUCUGAGGUCAGAGAGUUCACAGCUGAGUUCUUGGAGAAGGUCCUUGAGUCGUCUGGAUGGCGGGCAGUCUGGCACACUAAUGUGUUCGAGGUUCUGGUUGAGGUCAUAGAUGUGGACUAUGCGGCCUUGAAGGCGGUGGUGAGCCUCGCUGACCCGUACCUCUGUGACUCUCCAGUGAGCACUUUUACCUUGGAGU